GCUUCUUCUGGCAAACCAUCGCUUCUGCCACAUUCAGUUGGGUGAAGAACAAGGGCUGCCCAGAAACUUCUUAUGGAGAAAUUCUGAUGCAAAGCUCUCUUCAAAUCCUGAGAAUUAUUGACCAAAUUUAGCAGCGCUUUUCAAAUUUGACAAAGUGAAAUCAUGGUUCUUUACCAAAGUUUAGGUAUCUGAAUGGCAUUAGUUUGCUAAUAUUCUAGAGGUAAACUAAAGUUAAAUUAAGUAAUGCUAGGGAAUCUCAUUUAAUAAUGAAAUUAGGUAAAUAUAAAACAUACCUAUUAGUUUCUAGCUGAGCAUAAAUCUAGCGUAUAGUCAGAUCUGUGGGGGAAGCAGAAGGCUUGUCUCUACAGGUUCAUGCCUGAGCCAGUGAGAAUGUAGUAAGACCAUGUUUUUCAACCCCCUUCCCCACAGAUGGAUGGAGCAUAUAUUAUUAAUAUACUAUUGAGUGAUCUACUCUAAACCUAGUGUGCCUGGGGUAAACUUGAGCAUUGAGCUUCUACUUCCCUUUCCCCAAAGAGUGGUGCUAGGGCUAGAAUAAAGACUUUACUUCUCAAGUUUAUAGAGGAAGUUAAAAUUAGAGAAAUGAGUAUAAGAGAGAGAUAAGUGGUUGAUUACUCAAAUUCUAGAAAGGGAAGUCUCAUGAGUGAACAAAUUUGAAGGAACAAAAAAUGGAUGUUAGAAAAGCAGAAUUAGGAAGACAAAAAUGAGCCAGUGAGAUAUCUGGUUAGAACAGGUGCCUCAUAUGUAUUUGGAAUCAACCGCACAAUGCUUCAUGCAUGAACCAGCUGAGUGGAACUAUUCAAGGCCAGGAUAAACUGGAGAUUUGGUCAUAGUUACAGGCUUUUUCCUUGAUUUAUUCACAAAUAGAGCCCAAUGAAAUAAAUUUUCAUUGGCCAUGGGCAUUACUCCCCAUCCUUAGAUUUUACAAGACAUUCCCUCAUACCCUACCUUCUUACCCUUUUGCCAUGCCCCCAUCCCUAGGUAUUGACUGUUUCCUGACAGCUUGACUUGACCUGCUAUCAUAUUGAAGUCAAUAUAUACAGUUUAUAUUUAUAUUUACUUGCUUUCAUAGUGAGUUGUGGAUUUUCUUCUUUAAAAAAAAAUUCAUGUGGAAAGUUAGGUUAUAUUUUUUCCUAUCCACUUAGGUACACUUCUUCCUAUAUGAGAAGCAUGCCUGCUUGGACACAAAGCUCUAAUUCAGGAACUACUAAAUGGUUAGGAUUAUUUUAUUCCCUCUUCAAGCACAGUCUCCAAUGUUUAGAAUGUUAUUCUUCUGUACUUAAUCCUUUAAUGUGAAAACAAACAUCAAAGGUACUAUGAGCAAGUCACCCAGUAAACAUGAUUUUCCCAAUAGUUUCCAUCUUGCUCUGGUUAAUAGCAUAUUAAGUGUUAAUGAUAUUUCAAACUAACUCCUCUUUUUACACAGAUCAUUUUUUAAAAUGAAAUUUAAGGAUUUCUCCAUAAGAGAAAUAGAAUAACAGAGGAGUAAUUACAUUUCAACAGCAGUAUUUAGCAGUCAAAUAGGCUGAGCUUUCAAAUGAGUUUGCGCUAGGAAUGGCAGGCGGAAAUAAAAAUAAAAUAGUCUUCUCCACCCACAAAGAGAAAAAAACAAACAAACCAAGAAACCAUCAAACAAAACCCAGAAACACUUCAAGCAUAAGAUCAUCUUUUACUUUACUUUUUUGUUGGUUAUUUACUUUGCCUUCUGGAAAUAUUACACAAUCUAUUAGCUUUCUCUGUUUAGAUAUUGCUGGGUACAAAAUGUACUAAUAACUUUUAAAAAAUAAACAUUGAUUCUCACAACAUAACCAGUGAGGACUUUUUAGCCACAUAACUACAUUGUUGAAUAUAGUUGCUUAACAAAUAACAAAAUAAAAUGAAAAAGAAGUUAAGAAAACAGGCUCCAUUCAAACAGUCCAUAUACUUUGCUAACCUUAUUAUUUUGUGAUUAAAGUAGAAAACAUUUAAUAGUGAGUGUUGGUAUAUUAUUGAUGAAUUGAUAACAGUAACCAGGACCAGGAACUUUCCUUCCCAGGGAGGCCUGAAUGCCAGUGAUUCCUGGGGAGGCGGGUGACUGUACAGGGAAUAUUGGCCCCAGGUUUCGGUUCUGCCUUUGUCAACAGCCCUGAGAUUUUGUUUCGUCACUUAUUUCUGUUUUCUGUUUCUUUCCUUAUUCAAUGACGAUAUCAGGCUAGAACUGAGUGGGCGUCCUUCCAUGUGAUUAUGAGUAUUGUGUGAUUUUAUUCCACUGCCAAAUAAAAAUGAUCUUUGCAUUGUG